rnacentral:tRNA from 1 species
GGGCCUGUAGCUCAGAUGGAUAGAGCAACGGUUUCCUAAACCGUGGGUCGGGGGUUCGAAUCCCUCCAGGCCUACCA